rnacentral:lncRNA from 1 species
CUUGCUAUGAAGACGUCUAAACUGGUUAGCGACAAACUUGAGAUCUUCGGCUCUCAACGCAAAUGCUUCCACUUCAACAAGCGCCCUUACUGUUCUGGUUGAAGAAGGCAAGUUCACAGUUGAUUUUGGAAGCAAAGCCCAAGCGAGUAGCUCCUCUCCGCAAAAAUCUCCAGGCCUCAAUGCAAUGGAAUUGAAGAAACCCGCAAAUGCUUCCACCUCAACAAGUGCCCUGACUGUUCUGGUUGAAGAAGGCAAGUUCAGAGUUGAUUUUGGAAGCAAAGCCCAAGCGAGUAGCUCCUCUCCGCAAAAAUCUCCCGGCCUCAGUGUAAUGGAAUUAAAGAAACCAGUCCGACCACCAUUUGUAGUAGAACUCUCGAG